rnacentral:rRNA from 1 species
GGCCUGAGAGGGUGUACGGCCACAUUGGGACUGAGAUACGGCCCAGACUCCUACGGGAGGCAGCAGUGGGGAAUAUUGCACAAUGGGCGCAAGCCUGAUGCAGCGACGCCGCGUGGGGGAUGAAGGCCUUCGGGUUGUAAACUCCUUUCGCUAGGGACGAAGCUUUUUGUGACGGUACCUAGAUAAGAAGCACCGGCUAACUACGUGCCAGCAGCCGCGGUAAUACGUAGGGUGCGAGCGUUGUCCGGAAUUACUGGGCGUAAAGGGCUCGUAGGUGGUUUGUCGCGUCGUCUGUGAAAUUCUGGGGCUUAACUCCGGGCGUGCAGGCGAUACGGGCAUAACUUGAGUGCUGUAGGGGUAACUGGAAUUCCUGGUGUAGCGGUGAAAUGCGCAGAUAUCAGGAGGAACACCGAUGGCGAAGGCAGGUUACUGGGCAGUUACUGACGCUGAGGAGCGAAAGCAU